rnacentral:rRNA from 1 species
CAGCAGCCACGGGAAUACGUAGGUGGCAAGCGUUGUCCGGAAUUAUUGGGCGUAAAGGGCUCGCAGGCGGUUUCUUAAGUCUGAUGUGAAAGCCCCCGGCUCAACCGGGGGGGGUCAUUGGAGACUGGGAAACUUGAGUGCAGAAGAGGAGAGUGGAAUUCCACGUGUAGCGGUGAAAUGCGUAGAGAUGUGGAGGAACACCAGUGGCGAAGGCGACUCUCUGGUCUGUAACUGACGCUGAGGAGCGAAAGCGUGGGGAGCGAACAGGAUUAGAUACCCGAGUAGUCCCUGUCUCUUAUAC